GAGUUUUUCCUCUUCCGUCCGCAACCCUUUCGUAUCAACCCUCGCGUAUCAACCUGCCCUACUAACCUUGCCAAGGGAGGAGGGAAAGGGAGGGGGAGAAGGAAUUAACACAGUCUCUCGAGAAAUAAUUUACGCACGCGUUUUAAUUCGUUUCGAAGAAUUAACGGAUCGUUGUCCCAAUUAAAAAUUGAAACCGAAAGGAAGGACGGGACGGGAAUGAAUAAAUGAAUUUUCGCAAAAACCCACAGACUUACACCACGAUCAAAUACCCUCGUUAUUGUUAUUAUUUCCUCACUCGAGCCGCCAUCUUUUGUUUUUGCCUCUCCUUAUCGCGUCAUAAUUUAUCCAACGCGGUCCUCCCUUCCUCCCUCUUCCCUUCUCCAUUGUCCCUUUCAGAAGAUUAUCAAAAGACCGAAAUCCUCGCCUCGCCUCUCCUCUCCCCUCCGAGAAAUACGAUCGACGGAACGAAUACGGAAAAAGGAGGCGAUCGAACGAACGCCGGGUUUAACCGACCGACACUUGCAAAAUCGGAUCGAUUAACGAUUAAGCAUCCUCUCCUCUCCCUCUCUCUCGCUGCAGUCUUCUUCCUCGAACAAUGCAAUGGGAUCAGAAGAUGGGAAUUGAAGUUAGCAGGCGCGUGAAAAGUUGUUUCGCGAGGGGGGAGGGGGUGGGGAGUCCGAAUUCGGAAGACGGAUGGAGCGUAUCGCUUGCGGGAAUCGGUGGUUUAAUUCGCGUGGGGUCCCGGCCGGGGAUGUUUCCUGGAUGCGUUUGGAGGUGGAUAAUCGAAAAGCCAAGCGACGGGAAAAUUGGGAGCGGAGGGUGGCGGCCAAUCGUCCGUGAAAAUUGAAAAACUAUUUCGAUCGGGAUCGGAUGAAGGAGCUGGCAAAGUUGUCCGGGAGGGGAGGGUUUACCCGUAAACGCGUAAACCGCUAAUGUCGAUCGAUGGCCGAAUGGUGUUUCCGACUGGCUCUAUGGCGUUUCUGGUUACCCAUUAAGCGCCAUUUGUUAGCUACAGAUAAAACUGGCGGCGAUUAAUCAUUGGUUAAACAAGCGAAUCGCUGCUUCGUUCCGGAUGAAAUUUAACGACAAACGGCAAACUAAUUGCCGUGCAAUUAAAUCAAUAAACUCUGCAUCUCUCUCUCUCCUACCUCUCCUCUGCGUGCUAAACUCUCUCUCUCUCUCUCUCUUUCUCUCUCGCGUAAUUUUAUUCUCUUCCUCGCGAAACUCGUUAAAUAACUAUAAUAUCUCCAUUUUGCGUUCUUUCUAUUUCACGCGCAUCUAGGAAUAGCUCCGACCUCGAGGCUUCCUCGAAACGUUGGAGAAUAAUAUUCGAUGAGUGGUAUUAUUCAACGUUUCAAGAAAUUUAGUUAGACAGGAAGAGUUUUUGACGAUCGAAAUAAUACAAUUACGAUGAGAUAAAGAUCCAAGGGUGAGUGGAACGAGGAAGAGGAGCAGCUGCUUGAGGGAUGGGGAGGGAUUUUUUCAACGAACGAAUAAUUUCGUUGGCGAAAAUCAAACAUAUCCGUGAAAAAUGAACGACUUCGAUGUCGUUCUUCUCCUCGAUGCGUUUGAAUUAUCGUUUGAACACUUUAAACCCCCUCCCUCCUCCCAUUCCCCGUUAAAUUAAGCGGCGAGCAGCGAGUGGCCAGGCGUUAUUCACCGUCCGAAAUUCGCAUCCCCUGGAUUUGCGUUUUAAAACGCGAAUUCCCCGAUUUAAUCCCGUUGCAACGAAUUUCGACGAAACAAGUGCAAGCGUGCGCGUAUCGAAUAACUCUCUUCGAAAGAGGGGUAUUCGAUCAUGCAGUUUCUCUCUCUCUCUGUUCUUUCUUAUGAAAGAGGCGGAGGGUUGCUUCCCAGCCAAGUUUUUGCCCGUGGAAAAGAUUGGAAGGGGAGGGGAGGGAAGGGAGGAACGAAAGAAAAGAGGGAAAGAGGAAACGACUCGCGAUUUCUUGCAUACCAUUCGCAUUACCGGCUCUCCCCCUCCAUCCUCUCGAGCAUCGAGUCUCAUUUGCUUUUCCUUUCGGCUCUCCUAUUCCUUUCGCCUUCCCUUAUUUCCUCCCUCCUUCUCUUUCCUUUUUCACCGGUUCAUCUCUCUCCUUUCGAACGCGUUCGCGCAAUAAAAACAACGGCGAGCGUUUUCUCGAGAUCCCGAAGAACCUCAGAGCAAAGCACCGACGAUGCCGGUCGGUCAAUACUUGUGCAAAAAGAAGAGAGAGAAAUAAAAGAGGAGGAAAAAAAGAAAGAUUCUUUGAUGGAGGAUCAGAGGAUAAAAGGGGAUAUUUCGACGGUCCGGGGCCAUCGUUUAAAUUCUUGAAUAGUUUUGCAAGAAUGGAUAAGGGAACUCAGCCUCGCUUCGAUAACCUUCCAAAAUAUUUUCGGCCAUUUUUCACCCCACCACUUCGAGCUACCCAUCUAGAGAGAUUAAGGGUGGGCGAGAGAAAGCGGAGGUAGAAACAAUGGAAAAAGUACGGCCAUCUUUAAUUCCUUCUGCGACCAAUCCAUGGACAGCAAAGUUUAAAGGCAAAUCACGUCAUCAAAUUAGGUUUAAUUUUGGCUUCAUUUAUUUACUACUUCGUUUACUAUAUUAAUAUGAUUUUAAAUUGCUUAAACAGAACUGAUUAUGCAACCACGAUCAGUCAUGAUUCUACGCUAUUUUGUUCAACCUAUACACAAUUAUUAUAUCAUUAGACAACUUGUUAGCCUCUCCUCUUCGUCCAUAGUCACACACGGCUAACAAGGACAAAUUGGAACGGUUCAAUGAUAAUACAGAGAUAACUUAAGAAUGUUAAGUUUUAUUAUUAACAAUUACUAUUGUUAAAAAACAUUUACUUUAUGUAUUUUUAAAAUAUAAUUAAAAUAUAAUUAUAAUAAUAUAUUAUAAUAAAAAUUAUACAUGUAAUUUUAAAAAUAUUACACUAUGUAAUAUUUAUUAUUAUAAGAAAUAUAUUUAAUUGUAAUUUUAAAUAUUUAAAAAAAUGUUUUAUUUAAAAUAUUAUUAUUUAAAAUUGUUUUUGUAUUUUGCAUUUUAAAUUACAUUUUGAUAAAUAUUUUAAUAAAUGUUUACAUUUUUAUAAAAA